ACUUUAAUUGAUUCAACUCCCCCGUUCCCUAAAUCUUUUCUUUUCUUUCUCUUUUUUUUUCUAUUAAUUAACUCAUCAUUUAUGUGUAUUAGGGACUCCCUUGCACGAGUACAAGGUCCCUUUUAGCUUGAUCUAGGCUUAAUACCCUAUUAUAACAUGAAAUCCCCUAUUUUCCACCCGGAUGAACAGUAAUCCGGACCGACAGCCGGUUACUUCAUCCCGGGUUUGAUCCACUUUCAGGACUCCAAAUUUGAUGAAAUUUUUACCUAACAUUCUACACUCAUAGGGAAUUCUAAAGAGGUAAAAUGCAUUGCUAUCAGAGGUCGUUUGACCCCCUAAAUAAUUUGCCGAAAUUGGAACUUCGACACAGUUUUUCCGUAGUGCCGGAAAAAUUUGUCAAAAUCCGAUUCUUCUUCUUUUAACCGCCUCUACAACCCUUAUCCGACCCCUCUAGACUAUAUUCACCCUUUGUAUAGCCUAAUGUCAUCAAAAGACUAUAUAGGGAUGGAUAUUUACCUUUUUCUUUUUGAAAAUCGAGGUCCUUGCGUAGAGGGGAAGGAGAUCUAUAUUUUUCCCUUCAGCUGGAAGUGCA
rnacentral:lncRNA from 1 species